GGCGAACGCUGGCGGCGUGCCUAAUACAUGCAAGUAGAACGCUGAAGGCGGAGCUUGCUUCUCUGGACGAGUGGCGAACGGGUGAGUAACGCGUAGGUAACCUGCCUGGUAGCGGGGGAUAACUUUUGGAAACGAGAGCUAAUACCGCAUAAGAGCAGAUGUUGCAUGACAUUUGCUGGAAAGUUGCAAUUGCAUCACUAGCAGAUGGAGCUGCGUUGUAUGAGGUAGGUGGUGGGGUUACGGCUCACGAAGGCGAGGAUACAUAGCGGGCCUGAGAGGGGGAUCGGCCACCCUGGGACUGAGACACGGCCCAGACUCCUACGGGAGGCAGCAGUAGGGAAUCUUCGGCAAUGGACGGAAGUCUGACCGAGCAACGCGGAGUGAGUGAAGAAGGUUUUCGGAUCGGAAAGCUCUGUUGUAAGAGAAGAACGAGUGUGAGAGUGGAAAGUUCACACUGUGACGGUAUCUUACCAGAAAGGGACGGCUAACUACGUG
rnacentral:rRNA from 1 species